rnacentral:tRNA from 1 species
AGAAGGACAGAAAUCAGUAAGUACUGCUAAUACUUACGCACCGAGGUUAAAAUCCUCGGCUUUUUU